CCCUUAGAUGUUCUGGGCCGCACGCGCGCUACACUGAUUCAUGCAACGAGUUUUGUCCUUGGCUGAAAGGCCUGGGUAAUCUUUGAACGUGAAUCGUGCUGGGGAUAGAUGAUUGCAAUUAUUCAUCUUCAACGAGGAAUUCCUAGUAAACGCAAGUCAUCAGCUUGCAUUGAUUACGUCCCUGCCCUUUGUACACACCGCCCGUCGCUCCUACCGAUUUCGAGUGAUCCGGUGAACCUUUUGGACCGCUGGCACCUCGUGUGCUGCGCGGGAAAUCAAGUAAACCAUAUCACUUAGAGGAAGGAGAAGUCGUAACA
rnacentral:rRNA from 1 species